rnacentral:rRNA from 1 species
CAUGCAAGUCGAACGGUGAAGCCCUUCGGGGUGGAUCAGUGGCGAACGGGUGAGUAACACGUGGGCAAUCUGCCCUGCACUCUGGGACAAGCCCUGGAAACGGGGUCUAAUACCGGAUAUUACCUUCCUCUGCAUGGGGGUUGGUGGAAAGCUCCGGCGGUGCAGGAUGAGCCCGCGGCCUAUCAGCUUGUUGGUGGGGUAAUGGCCUACCAAGGCGACGACGGGUAGCCGGCCUGAGAGGGCGACCGGCCACACUGGGACUGAGACACGGCCCAGACUCCUACGGGAGGCAGCAGUGGGGAAUAUUGCACAAUGGGCGAAAGCCUGAUGCAGCGACGCCGCGUGAGGGAUGACGGCCUUCGGGUUGUAAACCUCUUUCAGCAGGGAAGAAGCGAAAGUGACGGUACCUGCAGAAGAAGCACCGGCUAACUACGUGCCAGCAGCCGCGGUAAUACGUAGGGUGCGAGCGUUGUCCGGAAUUAUUGGGCGUAAAGAGCUCGUAGGCGGCCUGUCGCGUCGGUUGUGAAAGCCCGGGGCUUAACCCCGGGUCUGCAGUCGAUACGGGCAGGCUAGAGUUCGGUAGGGGAGAUCGGAAUUCCUGGUGUAGCGGUGAAAUGCGCAGAUAUCAGGAGGAACACCGGUGGCGAAGGCGGAUCUCUGGGCCGAUACUGACGCUGAGGAGCGAAAGCGUGGGGAGCGAACAGGAUUAGAUACCCUGGUAGUCCACGCCGUAAACGUUGGGAACUAGGUGUGGGCGACAUUCCACGUCGUCCGUGCCGCAGCUAACGCAUUAAGUUCCCCGCCUGGGGAGUACGGCCG